UCCUAGAACAGUGACUGUCACCCAGCAGC
rnacentral:piRNA from 1 species